GUCUAUGGCAUGCCACCCUGAACACGCCUGAUCCUGUCUGAUCUCGGAAGCUAAGCAGGGUCAGGCCUAGUUAGUAUUUGAAUGGGAGACCACCUAGGAAGACCGGGUGCUGUAGGCA
rnacentral:rRNA from 1 species